CGGACCUGAUGUUUUUGUCUACACUGAAGUUGGCAGUUUGAUAAAUGAAAGUUAUUUCAAUUGAUAUUCUGUAAUAUUUCAUUCUU